UGCUAAAGAAGAUAUCAUCAAUGUAUUACCCCAAGAUUUUUCAUGCAAGCCAAUGAGAGAAGAGCCAAUGAGACAGGCAACCUGGAAAAGGGGAGGAGCUGCUCCAGGAGCUUCCAUGUGGUCUUUGUUGCUAUAGAAACCAUUUCUUUUGUCUGCAUGUGAAGCUGCUUUAUUUAUAAUCCGGCUCUCAGGGCUUGUCUACAUUACCCACUGGAUUGACGGGCAGCGAUGGAUCCAGCGAUCGAUCCUUGUGUGUCUCGAUCCACCUCCCCGAGAAGCAUAAGGGAAGUCAGCAGGACACGGUUUCCUGUUGACACAGUGCAGUGUAGCCACCGCUCUCCAGGAAAUAGAUGUUCACUCCCAUUCUGGGCACUCAGACGUUGGCAAGGUCUCCUGAAUCUACUAUGUCUGAAAAGAAUAUUGAAAGGUUUAUAUCUUGAAUUUCACAGUGAUCUACAAACAGAAGGGUGGGUUAGUGCUGAAGAUCAGAGGAGCCAAGGAGACAAAGGGCCCGGACGAUCAACAUCCAGCACAUUCGAAUGCUACUUUUAAUGCUUAAUUUAGAAAGUGACAUAAGAGUCAGCAGUUCCAGUCCAGCCCAAGUCAGCAAGGCAGGAAAUUGUUACCAAUGUGAUGGGCUGCUUACUAGCUUUCUACAGCUGGAUGAAAAUUGCCAUUUAUUUUUCAGCUU